rnacentral:lncRNA from 1 species
UUUUUUUUUGAGAAAUGGAGAGAAAACAAGGUUUCUCUUUGCGUCAAGGAAGAGGUGGUGUGUGGUUUAUCAUCCGGGAGGUCAGGAGUGAAGAGUGCAUCGAGAAGUGGGUCACCCAUUACUUUAUUUCAUCGUAUGAAAAAGAUCUCGCAUUUCAGGUAGGGUUUCGGUAUUUCUCACAAGUUUGAGUAAUUUCUGGAAUUUUUGCACCUUCACAACCUUUUUUUGAUAAUGUAUGCGUGUUUGUGUUUGUGAAAGAUGAAUUGUUCUCUAUGUUAAUUUCUAUGGAGAGUUUAAACGUCGAGUUACAUUUCUUCCAAAUUUUAAAUAUUUUUUGAUAUAUAUAUAUGAUUUUUUAAGUAAUUUAUGUUUCUACUUUUUCCCAAC